GACGAACGCUGGCGGCGUGCUUAACACAUGCAAGUCGAACGGAAAGGCCCUGCUUGCAGGGUACUCGAGUGGCGAACGGGUGAGUAACACGUGGGUGAUCUGCCCUGCACUUCGGGAUAAGCCUGGGAAACUGGGUCUAAUACCGGAUAGGAGCCAUUUUUAGUGUGAUGGUUGGAAAGUUUUUUCGGUGUAGGAUGGGCUCGCGGCCUAUCAGCUUGUUGGUGGGGUAAUGGCCUACCAAGGCGGCGACGGGUAGCCGGCCUGAGAGGGUGGACGGCCACACUGGGACUGAGAGACGGCCCAGACUCCUACGGGAGGCAGCAGGGGGGAAUAUUGCACAAUGGGCGCAAGCCUGAUGCAGCGACGCCGCGUGGGGGAUGACGGCCUUCGGGUUGUAAACUCCUUUCGCUAGGGACGAAGCUUUUUGUGACGGUACCUAGAGAAGAAGCACCGGCUAACUACGUG
rnacentral:rRNA from 1 species